UCUCUUUUCCUCGAAAGACCGCAAAAGCCCCCGAAACCCACCGCCGCCGCGCCCUAGUCUUCGCCUUCCCCAAGCCGCCGCCGGCCCCAUGUCCUCCUCCUCCUGCCCCUAUGAGGAAGCCAGCUCCUCCGGCGGCGAACCCUCGAUCAAUAAACCCCAAAUCCAGGCGCCGGCGCGCCAAGAAAGCGAGGAGGAGGAAGAAUCCGAAUCGGCGCCGCCGGAGCCACGGAUCCAACCCAAGGGGAAGUCUUCAUCUAUGGAGAUGAGUGUGUUUAGGCUCAGGAUAAAAAAGGGGCUACUGAACUGUGCAUAUUGCCGCCGACCCCUCCGGCGUGGCACUUACGAUUGCAGAGCGUUCACGGUGGGUGAGAUGUUUUGUUUUGUUUUUUUUCCCUAGCUCAACUUUUUCUCUUACUAUUUUCCCCUUUCUCGUGCUUCCUGGCAGUGCCAGUGCGUCCGCGGUCAAAUGUAUUGUCGUGAAUGUAUCCGCUUCCACCAUUGCCUGCCUGCUGAUACCAAUGUGCUGAGCCGCAUCUUCGCUCAGAUGAACUUCAAAUGCGACUGCAAAAAAUACAUUCCUUACUUCGAGUUUCUGGAACACCGGCGUGACUGCCCGUCUGCCAAAUAUUCCACUCCUCCUGCCCGGUGGAAGUGCAUGCUGAAGACAAGUCUCCUUCAGUGUUCUGAAUGCGAGGCUCCUAUCCGGCCUCCCAUUUUCUUGCUUUGGAGUAACAAUCUCAUUUGUAGCGCCUGCUACCGUGGUGAUAUCAGCACCUACGGCUACAGGCACUGUACUGAGCUUGAGUACCUCCUCCGAGCUAUAAAGGUCAAAUGCAUUGCCUGCAAACAAUACUUUCCAUUCUCCUGGUUGGGGUCGCGCCAGGUGGGUGAUUGCCCAUUCAAGUGUGAAUUGCAAAACAUCGCCCCAGGCUCGAGUGCCCCAAAAAAGUUAUGUGAUGAAGAGGAAACCGAGAGACCUAUGGCCGGCAACAAUAGUAUCCAUGGGAAAAGUAAGCGAAAGGUUCAUUUUGAUGUUGGUAAAAUGGGCAAGCACAUUUUUCACGGUGAUGAGGUUGCGAGUGAUGAUGACUCAUAUGACGCUUCAUAUGAUGACAACCAUCCUGAGUGUCAAAAGAGUGGCUGAGUAGGCCUUUAAGACACCUUGUGAUAAGAAAGGAAAGAUUGCAAUGCCAUAUGGGCAGAAAACAAAUGAAUAUGAAAGCACCAGGCCUCCAGCGGCCAACAGUACUAUCAUUAGUUGAGAGUGAUGAUGGCUCAUCUGAUGACAUCCAUGUAAGUUUAUUGAUGACCAAACUAUUUAUAUUCGCUCAUCCUCUUAUAGAUAUAUGAAAUUGGGAAUGUGGAAUCGCAUAGAUACAUGAAGUUGCAUUGUUGUCUUGUUAUGAUUAGGUCUGAAAUGGUAUGUUUUGUUAUGAAUUAUGAUCAGGUCCAAAGUGGUAUGUAGACCGUGGUUUGAUGAUGUCGCACCCCCAGCCACCAUCACACAAUCACAUCACAUGUAGCACACAAUCACAUCUUCUCUUUUUCUGGUCAUGUGAAAUUUUGGGAGGAGGGCAGGUAGGCAGGAACAUUGCUGGUGUGUAAGUGGCCGCUACAUUGUGCAAAGUAUUGUGACUAGACUUAUAUGUGGGGCCGCGUCAAAGAGCUGCACCCUGGAACUAAAAACUCAAAACUCAGGGUCAUAACCCAUUUGUUGUCCGCCACUUUGUGCAAAGUAUUAUGGCUAGACCUACAUGUGGGCCUCACAUCAAAAGCUAGACCUGUAGAACUAAACCCGUGGGUUAAAUCCAUACGAACCCCAAAACAUAAAUACAUUCCAACCCACCCUAACCCGUAUUUAGGGUAAGCCCAAUCCACCCCAACACAUCUUGUGUACCCUAGCCUCAUGUAGCACCUUUGUUUGUUUGUCAAGAGUUUCUUGGGUUCUAUGUGCACAUGAUGUGCAUAAGAAAGAGAAUAUUGACAAUGUGUCCCAUAGUUGGGCCUAUUGCCAAACUACAGCUUCACAUGUGA